AAGAUAUAAAAUUUUUAAAAAAAGCUGCUAACUUUUUUUAUAGUAGUGAAAUUCUAUUAAUAUCUUUA
rnacentral:tRNA from 1 species